rnacentral:miRNA from 1 species
UUUUUAGUGUAAGUAUAUUCCAUGCAUUAGUUGAAACAUAUUUAUGCUUAAA